rnacentral:lncRNA from 1 species
CCGCGCUCGGGCCGCUCGCUUCACCCUCCCGCGGCCCUCGGUCGGCCUUGGCAGCGCGGCUCCCGUGACUCAGCCGCCAGCCCAGCGCUGGCCCUGGUUGACACCCGCGAGGAGGCGACGCUCGGCCCGAGGCGCCCGCCGAGGUGGGGGUCGCCGCUCGCCCGCGCUUUACGGCUGCCGAAAACAGGCCCCGCCGGCCGCCGUACCGCAGACCCGCGGCGCCGCUCAGGAAAUGAGCGUUGAAUGGUGAGCACCUGGAUGAAGAGGCCAGGGAUCAGACUGUCAGCCUCCUGCUACAGCAAACGCCCUCCCAUAUCACUAAGAGCAUUCAGGUUUUGCAGCAUGAAUACCAAUGCAGACAAUGUUUGAUAUAUUCAUCUUUUGCUUCUGCAGAGCAGGAGAGUAAAAUAUAUUAUAACCAAACAAAUACUGUGGACUCCCCUGGCUGGCUGGAUGGGGCUUGCAUUUGUUAGCAGGCUGUCCCUGGCUUGCAUUUCAUAGAGGGUUCUGGUUUCUUAUUUCAUAGUGCAUUCAACAAUGUCCAGCUGAAGCACAAAGGCAAUGGCCACCCUGUUUAAUCUGAUCCCUUCACUCAAUGCAAAAUAAUUUGUGGUAAAAUAUUCUUUUUCUAUUUGUGGGAUUUCCCCUGUACAUGUUUUUCUUUUGUAAUUUGCUUGUUUUGACACAUGGCCACGUGAAUAGCUUCCACAAGUCUUUCUUCUAAGAAUGUGUAGUUUGCCAGUAUAUGCAAAUUUUUCAGAUGCUAGAAGCAGAAAUGAACAGAGCAGGCUUGAAUAAUAAAUAUUUAAUUCGUUUCUCAUCCUGUUUUGCUUGUUACUUUUAUAGUGAGCAUUGUUCUUUUUUCCUUUUCAAUGGAAUUGUAGUUUCUAAGAUUUGAAGUAUCCACAAAAGAAUAUAUUCCUUUUAGAAUAACUAAAACACUAUGGAGUCUUAAAAUAAGAUAAUAACUAUUAGGUUAUCACCUUUAUUUUCACUGCUGUGUGUGUGCGUGUGAAUGCACACAUACAUGUGCUCAGGUGCAGACUCCAUGUACAUUUCUUGUAUCAUACUCAAAUGAAGUUCCUAUUUGUUAUACGCUAUUUUGUUCAUUGCAGAUUACUGGCCUUUCAAUGUUUAUAACAUCACAUAUUAAGUAAAAUUAAUAUGAUAUGCAUGGAAAUUGG